GUCCAUCUAUAGCUACGAAAAAAUUUUUUUAAAGUUGUAAGCUAUAUGAAAUUUAUUUUGGUAUUUUGAGAGAGGUAGGGACCUGAUUUUUACUUGUAUCUGUUAAUUUUCCCAGCAUCAUUUACUGAAUAAACCAUCAUUUCCAAUAAUUAACCUGAACUACUUUUAUCAUAUACCAAAUUUCUUGAAUACUUUGGGUUCUCUUUCUGAAUGUUUUUGAUGUAUUAAUCAAUCAAUUGUGUUACCUUACUGUUUCCUAACUAUGAUUUAAUAACUUUUGGGGGGAUAUCAGGAAUUGAACUCAGGGCACCUCAACCACUGAGCCAUAUUCCUAGGCCUAUUUUGUAUUUUUUUUAGAGACAGGGUCUCAUUGAGUUCCUUAGCACCUCACUUUUGCUGAGGCUGGCUUUGAACUCAUAAUCCUCCUGCAUUAGUUUUCCAAGCCGCUGAAAUUACAGGUGUGAUCCACUGUACCCGGAGUUUAAUAACUUUUAAAACUAGUAAUUCAACUUCCCCUUUCAUAAUUAUUCUUUUUGAAAAUUUUCUUGAGUGAGUAGUCUAGCAGAUGAACUUUAGAAUCAUUUUGUUACAUUCCAAGAAAACUCCUGUUGGAAUUCUGGUUAAAAUUGCAUUCAAUUUUAUUAACUAAUUUUGGAGACAUUAACAUAUUAGAUUUUUCCAGUUAGAAAAAUGACAUUCUAGCAGGUGAUUAGCAAGGUUGGUGGAAUGUGAUGGACAUCAUUAUACAAAGUACAUGUAUGAAGACUUGAAUUGGGUGUUAACAUAUCUUAUAUACAGAGAUAUGAAAAAUUG
rnacentral:lncRNA from 1 species